GCUGGCGGCAGGCCUAACACAUGCAACUCGAGCGGUAGAGAGAAGCUUGCUUCUCUUGAGAGCGGCGGACGGGUGAGUAAUGCCUAGGAAUCUGCCUGGUAGUGGGGGAUAACGUUCGGAAACGGACGCUAAUACCGCAUACGUCCUACGGGAGAAAGCAGGGGACCUUCGGGCCUUGCGCUAUCAGAUGAGCCUAGGUCGGAUUAGCUAGUUGGUGGGGUAAUGGCUCACCAAGGCGACGAUCCGUAACUGGUCUGAGAGGAUGAUCAGUCACACUGGAACUGAGACACGGUCCAGACUCCUACGGGAGGCAGCAGUGGGGAAUAUUGGACAAUGGGCGAAAGCCUGAUCCAGCCAUGCCGCGUGUGUGAAGAAGGUCUUCGGAUUGUAAAGCACUUUAAGUUGGGAGGAAGGGUUGUAGAUUAAUACUCUGCAAUUUUGACGUUACCGACAGAAUAAGCACCGGCUAACUCUGUGCCAGCAGCCGCGGUAAUACAGAGGGUGCAAGCGUUAAUCGGAAUUACUGGGCGUAAAGCGCGCGUAGGUGGUUAGUUAAGUUGGAUGUGAAAUCCCCGGGCUCAACCUGGGAACUGCAUUCAAAACUGACUGACUAGAGUAUGGUAGAGGGAGGUGGAAUUUCCUGUGUAGCGGUGAAAUGCGUAGAUAUAGGAAGGAACACCAGUGGCGAAGGCGACCACCUGGACUGAUACUGACACUGAGGUGCGAAAGCGUGGGGAGCAAAC
rnacentral:rRNA from 1 species